rnacentral:rRNA from 1 species
GCAAGUCGAGGGGUAACGGGGAUUGCUUGCAAUCCGCUGACGACCGGCGCACGGGUGCGUAACGCGUAUGCAACCUACCUUCUACAGGGGGAUAGUCAAUAGAAAUGUUGAAUAAUACCCCAUACGAUCUUUGAAUAGCAUUAUUUAAAGAAGAAAGUUCCGGCGGUAGAAGAUGGGCAUGCGUGACAUUAGUUAGUUGGUGAGGUAACGGCUCACCAAGACUUCGAUGUCUAGGGGCUCUGAGAGGAUUGUC